UAAAGCCUUUCUGGCGAGGAUUUUGGAUUUCUGCUUCGUUCCAGGCCAAUCUUUGUGCACCCAAAUGAAUUCAUUUGCAGGGGAGGCAGCAGCUCUCUCCCCUCAGCAACAGCACGUGGCUCUGCAGAUGGGCUGUGUGUGUCAAUAUGGACCUAAGUGUGAAGUUUGAAAUGAUUUCCCCUCCGUCUUUCGUGACACAAAGGUCUCCUGGGGAAGAACUGGUUACCGCGUCGAAAAAAAAAACCUGUAAAUUUUGUGAAGCAGAGCCUGUUCUCUGAAGAGAGGUGAAGCUUUUGUUUCUGGCUGCGCAGGAUUGCAAAGCCACGUUUCUGAGCAGAAGCUGGGCCAUCUGCGCUUCCAAGCACUUCAGCUUGUAUCCCUGGAGCCAGGCUAUGUGCUGAUAGGAAAAAAAAAAUUUAAAUCCAUGGCAGGUUAAAAUUGACAGACCACAGCCUGGGUUGGUGUAGUGGAGGUAGCACACAAGCACUUUUUGGGAUUACAAUUCAGGGCUGAGAGGUUCUUCUUGCUUCCUAAUGAUCCUAUGGGAUGUCUGCAGGGGGGGAUUGCUGUUUUGGUGGCAGGGAUGGAGGGACAAAAGCUGGGUGCCUGUUUCUCAGGGGAUGGCAUAAUUGUACACCAGCCUGUGUUUCUAUUGUUGCAGGCAAUAAUGUUUUUAGAGAGGCUUGUGCACCGAUUAACUAUUCCUAACAUUGUUUAAUCACUGCAUCUGCUGAAAUGUGACUGUCAACUCUCAAACUCUCAAAGGUCACGGCUGUUUUGGGGAGGCAAAACCUGGCAGGGUUUCUACAUCACUAUGUUACACUAGAGCUUGGCCACCAGACCUGGUGGGAUGAUCUUGGAGUGAACUGUUUUGGACUGGAUUCUGUGGCAGUGAACGACCAGCAGGGAAGAAGCGUGCAUGACUCUGGAUGUGUUAGGAUUUGGCAUAGAAGCAGCUGAGUGCAAUGGAAAAGAUCAGCCUCUUGCUUUACAGCUUUAGGAACCUCUACAUUGAAAAAAAAAAGCAAAAGUGAAAAAACAAACAAACAAAACCCAAAGCAAAGUCAAAACAAAAAGCCACAAAGUUGAAUAAAGGGAGGAACUUCAGGAAUUCUCACAGAAAGACUGAAUUUCUAGAAAGUGAUGAAUUUUAUCCCUUUCUUGUGGUGGCAUAAUGACACCCAACAAACAGAUCUGAGCAGCAAAAGCAAACGUGGCUUAAACCACACAAAAUAAAAGGUUCUUAGAGAAUAAAUCUAGCUCCGGCACGAUGAUUGUACUCGCUCAUCCCCUGCCAUCCCAGCAGCUCCUAUGCCACCACAAGCAUCUCUGGCCCUCAGCACUCGUGUAAACAGUUCAGUGUCCAGGAAGAUUUGAAGACUGGGAGUGAGGUUGGCUCUUAUGCUGCAGGAGAAAGAAAAAGGAGGCAAGGGGAACAUCGUCCCCUUCAUUUUCCUACAUACAUGGUUGGGACAGACAACUUGAACUUGUGUCAGUGCUACUGCAUCCCUUCCUCCAAAGCCAUGUGUUGGGCUGGUGUCAUCUCCUGCCUGCAUCAGCUGGCCCAGGUGAGCCACCAAGGUGAGGCACCAAGGUGAGCAGUCUCCUCUUGCCCCACUGGAGAGCAAGUGGUGUGGAAUGGAUUUAGGGCAGACAUAGCCACUUCUUUCCAUUUUGUUUCCUUGAACUAUUGGGACAGGCUGCUACCUCCUGCCUCAUAUUGCAGUGUAAAGUUGAGCCCACCAGCUAGGCAGAAAAACGUGGGUGUGGAAGGACAUGGCACAUCCAGCCUGGAGCUGCUUGAUGGUCACCCAUCGUGGCCAGUCCCCUUUUCAUGGUGAGAGGAGGAAACGCUGUUUUUCAGGGUGUUGAUGGGAAUGCCUUUGAGAAGCACUCUUUCCACCGCAGUCCUGGUUGUCCAUGUCAAUUUUUGCAGCACUGAUAAUCACAAACAAAACUUGCUGGAAGCUAGAAGUCUGCAUUUAAUUUGUCUAUGAGCUUGUGCAGGAUUUUAACUGGACACAAACACAUUCAGAUAUUAUCUCUACUUGUUCUGAUGGGUGGGGAAGAGGAGACAACGGGGGAGGGCCUUGCAGCUCCCACUGUUACUGUGCUUAUCCAGUUUUCUGCUGUAAUAUCCUGUUUUUAGAUGCUUAUAGUUUAGCCAAGCAUUAACCAUUUAGGACGAGACUGACCAUCCUGGGAUGGGGCAGACCAUGCAAAGUAUAAGUCAAAAUCAAGCAAUGUAUUUUUCCCCAGCUCAAAGCCAAGUGGGAGGAGUAUUUUAUUCCAUAUUAAAAGAUCACUGCAAUCGCUUUGCUUUGAAAGUUGGCAUGGUGGUAGCAUUUAGGUCACAGUGCUGUUUGCUGAACAUAUGGCAAACCGAGCACAUUUAGCCAACAUUAAAAAAAAAAAAAAAAGCAGUAACAAUAAGCUCUUAAAGCAGAAGCAGAACACACUUAUGUCCAGCAGAGACUUUGGUUCUGCAUUUCUUCAGGAUUUUCUCUUGCCAGAUGUGUCCUGAGUUGGAACUGGUGAGGGUUUCCCCCCCUGUGCUGCUCUGCAUCCCCAUGGAGCCCAUACUCAGGGGCCCCUCUGCUGUGGGCCAUUGGUGUGGUGUAGGAGGCACCUCGCAGUGACACAUGGAGGUGCAGGUGGAGGGGUAAUGGAAAAAAAAAAAAAAAGAUAGAAAAGAUAGCCCAAGAUGACAAAGGUGAUGUGGAGAGGAGGAGAAAUUUACAGGGUAAAAGCUGAAGGCUGGUUAUGAAAAUCAGGAGCUCUGAGGAGGGGUAAGAUGUUGCAUGUUAAAAGAGGAGCAUGGCACAGGAGCAGGAACUAUCAGGGGACAGUGAAGUAACAUCAAGAAAAUAGAAUGGGAAAGGAAAAAUAGAAGUUUUUUUCUUUUUCUCUAAUGUUUAUGCCAAGUGUUUAUUUUCUUUACCCAGCACAGUGCAGUUCCUGUCCAAGGGUGCAUGGGAGUGGUUAAAAAUCAGUGUGAAGUUUUCGUCACCUCUUUCUUGCAUUAGGCUGGGCAAAGAAGAACUCGGUUCACCACGCAACCUGCUCUCUGCCAUCUAUGCAGCACUGGUGACUUCUUUGAGGAAAGGCAAAAAACAGGAAGGUGUUUGUGAAGCUCCCAACUUUCUACUGCUCCCAAGAGCCAUACCCACACCAUUGCACAGCUCCAGAGAGUCUCCAGUGUUGUGCAGGGCAGCGCUCCAGGCCCCUGCUCUCCACCCUUGCCUAUGUCUCCUGGGCGUCAGCCAAAGCUGAACAAGGGCUUUUAAAGCAAUCGAGUCUCUGUUUGUUUCACCAGAGCUUAGAUCAGAGCACCAGGUGCGAUGACUGCGAAGUGUUGUGGAGAUGCUGGGGACUAGGCUGCAUUCUUAAUGGAAAUUUUUUGCUUACCGAAGAGUUCAUCUGAAAGAUGCUUGUAUAUAGCAAUGACUCUGCACCACUGGCAUCGGCAGGUAUUUACUGAACUUCAAAAAAUUGUCUUCAGCAGGCUUGAAUCAGCAUGCGGUACCUCUGCUCACUGAAACCAGUUUGUGGUGCUCUUUACACAAAUGGUUGGAGAUGACAACUCUCAAAGAAUCAGUAUUUAGAAGAUUUCUGUGAUCUAUUCAGGUUCACAAGUGCAAACACAAAAGGUCUGGGGGAAAUACUGUGUUUAAACCAGCAAAAAUGCAAAAGAUGAAGACACGUCUAUGACUGCACAGGUUUGCUCUGAAGAAAUUUGAAUGAAUCGAGCCUUCCC